rnacentral:rRNA from 1 species
CCUACGGGGGGCAGCAGUGGGGAAUAUUGGACAAUGGGGGCAACCCUGAUCCAGCCAUGCCGCGUGUGUGAAGAAGGCCCUCGGGUUGUAAAGCACUUUCAGUGAGGAAGAACGCCUGGUGGUUAAUACCCAUCAGGAAAGACAUCACUCACAGACGUAGCACCGGCUAACUCCGUGCCAGCAGCCGCGGUAAUACGGAGGGUGCGAGCGUUAAUCGGAAUUACUGGGCGUAAAGCGCGCGUAGGUGGCUUGAUAAGCCGGUUGUGAAAGCCCCGGGCUCAACCUGGGAACGGCAUCCGGAACUGUCAAGCUAGAGUGCAGGAGAGGAAGGUAGAAUUCCCGGUGUAGCGGUGAAAUGCGUAGAGAUCGGGAGGAAUACCAGUGGCGAAGGCGGCCUUCUGGACUGACACUGACACUGAGGUGCGAAAGCGUGGGUAGCAAACAGGAUUAGAUACCCCUGUAGUC